AGCAUCACGGUAGUUUUGGACUCCUGGCUACAGAACGACGCUGGCGGCAUGCCUAACACAUGCAAGUCGAACGAGACCUUCGGGUCUAGUGCGCACGGGUGCGUAACGCGUGGGAACCUGCCUUUAGGUUCGGAAUAACAGUGAGAAAUUACUGCUAAUACCGGAUGAUGACGUAAGUCCAAAGAUUUAUCGCCCAAGGAUGAGCCCGCGUAAGAUUAGCUUGUUGGUAGGGUAACGGCCUACCAAGGCGACGAUCUUUAGCUGGUCUGAGAGGAUGAUCAGCCACACUGGGACUGAGACACGGCCCAGACUCCUACGGGAGGCAGCAGUGGGGAAUAUUGGACAAUGGGCGAAAGCCUGAUCCAGCAAUGCCGCGUGAGUGAUGAAGGCCUUAGGGUUGUAAAGCUCUUUUACCAGGGAUGAUAAUGACAGUACCUGGAGAAUAAGCUCCGGCUAACUCCGUG
rnacentral:rRNA from 1 species